rnacentral:lncRNA from 1 species
GAAAAAAUUUUAACUUCGGUAAAAAAACAUAGAGCUAUUCCACGUACGUAAUGCGUUUUAAGUUUGUAAAAGAUAUUUGUCUUAUUAAUGGUCUUUACUCCUUAUUAUGAGAUGGAAGAAAUGCAUGGAUCUGAGUAUCUGACAACGAUAUAUUUUAUAUUUAGUAUUUACUAACUGUGAGCUAAACUAUAACACUCAAAUCGAUUGCACACGUAAAAAAUAUCGUUAUAUACUUAAAAUUAAUUAUACGCCAAACUGAUGGAUUGAUUAUGUUGCAUAAUACAUAUUACAUAAUAUUAAGUUUGCGUUUGCAGUUAUAAAUUAUUUUAUAAUCAAUAUUUCGGUAGUGGAGAUAAACGUUAGGGCAUUGUGUGUUUAACAAAUUAAUGCCUUAGAGUUUUUUCGUAACUGAACAGGUGGUGUACAAAAUGUUAUAAAUAUUAAGCAUACACUAUACGUUAUAGUAGGUACUAUAGUACUAUUGUCCGCGUCCAACGCUAUAUUACAGAGGUAUUCAAACUUAUUCAUCUCCAGGCUCCUCUGAGUCUUGACAAAAUGUUGACGGCUCCCAAAUUAAAAAUGACAAAAAAAUCAAUGUUUAUAUGAAUGUCUCACAGAGGUACGAAGUUGCAAAAGGUGUUAAAUUUUUCAAAGCGUUGGUGGCCAGUUCGGUGUAUUGUAGUUUCACAUGCGUCCAAAAUUGUGUUAACGGCGAUGAUCCUAACAUGGUCUUCAUUGUGUAAUCUGAUGUUACCUCGAUCCACUGUUCUUGUUCAAUAGAUGACAAAUUUGUUGGAACGUCAGCACUGAAGGGAUUUUUGAUCCAAUUUUGUUGUUGAGUAUUUUGUGGAAAAUAGUGUUCGAAAUGAAUUUUGAGCUUAGAUAAGUAGUCAAUGAACUCAUUUUUGACGAUCUCAUUCAAGUUUAUAUCAUUUUCUUUUAGAAAUGUAUCGAGCAUAGGAAAGCAGUCAUUAAAAGUAUCGUCUUCUAUUUUAGUCUUCCAUAAAAUUAAUUUUCUUUGGAAAGCCGACGAAAAAUUCAACUUUUCCCAACCAGUGUGCCUCAAUGAUUAUAAUAAACGUUUUUCGUAAUAAUUUAUGUUAAAAAUAUUUUUAAAUAUUUAUUGGUUUUCAAUUAUAUGACGUGGCUCCCUUCGACAACUCCCGCGACACCCCUGGGAGUUGCGACGCACAGUUUAAAUACCUCUGCUAUAUUACAUUUGUGAGUUCGAUAUAACGACAAUUCUUUUACACAUACCUGCUAUAAUAUACAAUAUAUUAUAAUCAAGGUGGAUUCUAAUAAUAUGCUUGCUUACAAUUUAUAAAUAUCUUUGAGGACAAUGACGAUGAAAUAUAAUUUAAUAUAAUAUAGAUACUUACCGAAAACAAUUCUGAAUGGACACGGUCGGUUAGCAUGUUUUUCUAAGGAAAUCGUAUACCUACUUGUAUAUAUGGUUUAUAUAUGGUUUAUAUGAUUCUCAAAUCAGGUGCGACUUAGGUACCUGCUUAAUUUACGAAUACUUUUUAUAAUUGCUGUAAGAACUUAUAUUAAUAAAACCUUACAUUAAAUGUUAAACCAUAUUAAAUUUAACAUUAUUACAUAUCAACAUAAAUAAAUAGCAGAUAGCUAUAUUAUAUUAUAUUAUAUUAUAUUAUAUUAUAGCUAUACACAAUAUUAAGUCAUGUCUAUAUUUCUUAGAUUGUGAAACAUAAGGAUAUUUAUUAAUUAUUAAAUUGUAUGUUUAUUUUAUUAUUUCUAGGUACACUUGGUUCGUGCAAUUUGUAUUUUGUAUUUUUAUAAGCGGUUAAUUGUGAAAUUCAAUUUAUGUGAUUUUCGUCUCAUAAAUCAUAACUUGAAAAAUUAUAAUAAUAUUUUAAUAACUAUGUAUUUUCUAUUUUUUUUUUUAAUAAUUUCUGUAAGAACUUAUCAAUAAAACCUUACAUUAAAUGUUAAACAUUAUUAUAAUAUAAUAUGAUAUUAUCAUCAACAUAAAUUGAUAUCACACAAAUGCCAGACUCCUAUCAGUAGAUCGUUGUAAGAUUCUAUAUACAUAAUGAAAGAUUUUUUAGAACGACAAUAUUAGAUCAUAUCUUUAUUUCUUAGAUUGUGAAACAUAAGAUAUACAAUUAUUCAUUAAAUUGUAUGUUUAUUUUUUUUAGUUUUAGAUGAAAGAGAUGAAAAAGAAAUAAAAGAGGUUAUAGUGGACCAAUUAGCAAAGAAAUACAUGGAUUAUUUGGAAGAAAUUAAUACAGCUACUGCCUUUUGUGAAACUAAAAUUGAUAAAAACAGAAGUUAUUUUAUGCACAUGUAUGGUCCAUAAGAAAAAUAUAUAUAAGAUGGGGUGAAUAAAAACGUAUUUCCUUUUUUUCUUUUUUAAAACUAAUAAUUGUACUUUAUUUUCAAAGAAAAUAUGUUCUAAUAUCCUAAAAGACACAAACCAUAAUAUUAUAAUAAACUCUAUGCAUAUUCCAUCUGCACUACUAUAAUAUAUUGUAAUCUGUAACACCAUUUUUCUUAUUCCCUUUAUAUUGUUUAAUACCUAUAUAUUACUAUUAGUAUUACUAUUUUUAAAUGUAUUUCCUCAUUUAUUCAAAUUUAUAUAAUAUGUACGUAUUGAUUAAUAUACUGUGUCGCACAAUAACCUUUGUAUGUUACGUUGCUUGCUAAUAAUCAAUAAUCAAUAAAGUUGUUAUCUAUCUA